rnacentral:tRNA from 1 species
UCCUUGAUAGCUCAGUCGGUAGAGCAAUCGGCUGUUAACCGAUCGGUCGCAGGUUCGAGUCCUGCUCAAGGAGCCA